rnacentral:rRNA from 1 species
CCUACGGGGGGCAGCAGUGGGGGAUAUUGCACAAUGGGGGAAACCCUGAUGCAGCGACGCCGCGUGGGUGAAGAAGCGCCUCGGCGCGUAAAGCCCUGUCAGCAGGGAAGAAAAUGACGGUACCUGAAGAAUAAGCCCCGGCUAACUACGUGCCAGCAGCCGCGGUAAUACUUAGGGGGCAAGCGUUAUCCGGAUGUACUGGGUGUAAAGGGGGCGCAGGCGGCGAUGCAAGCCAGGAGUGAAAGCCCGGGGCCCAACCGCGGGACUGCUCUUGGAACUGCGUGGCUAGAGUGCAGGAGGGGCAGGCGGAAUUCCUGGUGUAGCGGUGAAAUGCGUAGAUAUCAGGAGGAACACCGGUGGCGAAGGCGGCAUGCUGGACUACAACUGACGUUGAGGCCCGAAAGCGUGGGUAGCAAACAGGAUUAGAUACCCGGGUAGUC